CACAUCUAAGGAAGGCAGCAGGCGCGUAAAUUACCCAAUCCUAAUUCAGGGAGGUAGUGACAAGAAAUAACGGACCGAGGCUUAUGCUUCGGGAUUGCAAUGAGUAGAAUUUAAACCCCUUUAUGAGGAUCAAUUGGAGGGCAAGUCUGGUGCCAGCAGCCGCGGUAAUUCCAGCUCCAAUAGCAUAUAUUAAAGUUGUUGCAGUUAAAAAGCUCGUAGUUGAAUUUCUGGGGGAGUGCCAAUGCCGGCUCGAUGCUUGUGCAGCGGCGCUCUCCCAUCCUUCUGUUAACGUUUCACGGUAUUAACUUACUGGUUGCGGGCUC
rnacentral:rRNA from 1 species